rnacentral:rRNA from 1 species
CACGCUGUAAACGAUGAAUGCUAGGUGUUGGAGGGUUUCCGCCCUUCGGUGCCGCAGUUAACGCACUAAGCAUUCCGCCUGGGGAGUACGAUCGCAAGAUUGAAACUCAAAGGAAUUGACGGGGGCCCGCACAAGCGGUGGAGCAUGUGGUUUAAUUCGAAGCAACGCGAAGAACCUUACCAGGUCUUGACAUCUUUUGACCAUCUGAGAGAUCAGAAUUUCCCUUCGGGGACAAAAUGACAGGUGG